UACGGAGGGUGCAAGCGUUAUCCGGAUUCACUGGGUUUAAAGGGUGCGUAGGUGGGCUAGUAAGUCCGUGGUGAAAUCUCCAAGCUUAACUUGGAAACUGCCGUGGAUACUAUUAUCUUGAAUCUCGUGGAGGUAAGCGGAAUAUGUAUGUAGCGGUGAAAAUGCUUUAGAUAUGACAUAGAAACACCGAUAGCGAAAGGCAGCUUGCUACACGAGUAUUUGAC
rnacentral:rRNA from 1 species